rnacentral:lncRNA from 1 species
ACAAUAUUUCAGUGAUCUAUUUAUGUCCUUGAUCAUGUCAUCAGCAAGUGGAGGUCCAAAAGGCACGGAUCUAUUUAUAGAUAUUUGGAGUGAUCUCUCCAUAGUCCUUUCCCAGAUCGAUCAAUGCUAUGCAUCUGGAGAAAUGGGUAAUGCAUGGUUAAAGCUCAUGAGAUACGUGAGGACUGCACGACGAUGCUGGAUGUUCAUAGACCAUACAGGAGGCGGAGGGAAGGAAAGUUUAGCUUACAAUUUCCUUUAGCGACAUGGAUACGGUCUCGUGUGGCUGUUGCGCGUAACUGUCGGUCUGGUUCACA